AGAAGAAAGGAACUGAUCUUUGGUUAGCUUCACAUUUCCACUCCAUAUGACAUCCCUACCUGCUGGCCAAGUCAGUGGAAUCUUGUACUCCUUGGGAGGACGAACCAAACAAUUUUGGUGUUCUUGCGAUAACUCACAGUGCCUAUCAAAUUCCUCCCCAUCUUUAAGCCCAGCUAACAGAUUUGCCGAUACAUUAUGGCAAGGCACAUAAUUCUCUCUUUCCUUCCCACAAAGACCAACAUCCUUAAUCAGGUUAGCUCCCAGAGA
rnacentral:misc_RNA from 1 species